rnacentral:rRNA from 1 species
AUUGAACGCUGGCGGCAGGCCUAACACAUGCAAGUCGAGCGGAGCGGCGGACGGGUGAGUAAUGCCUAGGAAUCUGCCUGGUAGUGGGGGAUAACGUCAGGAAACGGGCGCUAAUACCCCAUUCUAUCAGAUGUGCCCAGAUGGGAUUGGCUAGUUGGUGGGGUAACGGAUCACCAAGGAGACGAUCCCUAGCUGGUCUGAGAGGAUGACUAGCCACACUGGAACUGAGACACGGUCCAGACGCAUACGGGGAGCGCCGGUGGGUAAUAUUGCGCAAGGGGCGAGAACCUGUUGCAGCCAUACCAAGUGUAUGAUGAAGGCCUUCGGGUUGUAAAGUAAUUUCAGCGGGAAGGCGUUACCCGCAGAAGAAGCGCCGGCUAACUCCGUGCCAGCAGCCGCGGUAAUAC